UACCAGCACCCCGAGUGGUCGGGACGAUUAUUGGGCCUAAAGCAUCCGUAGCCGGUCCUGCAAGUCUCCCGUUAAAUCCAGCUGCUCAACAGAUGGGCUGCGGGGGAUACUACAGGGCUAGGAGGCGGGAGAGGCAAGCGGUACUUUAUGGGUAGGGGUAAAAUCCGUUGAUCCAUAGAAGACCACCAGUGGCGAAGGCGGCUUGCCAGAACGCGCUCGACGGUGAGGGAUGAAAGCUGGGGGAGCAAACAGG
rnacentral:rRNA from 1 species